ACUUACGCUAGCCAUGGGAUGAUUAGAACAAGAUAAGAGACAUGAGGAAGACUUCUUCAAGGAGGUGCUCAAGCCAUGUUUUGGAAAAGAGAACUCAAGGUCUGGCAGGGAGAAAGGAGCAAGAAAAAUGCAUGCUCCAGAAGUCCAGGCUGACCCAAUACCGGAGUAGACUUUGAGUCUUUGCUUCAGAUGCAGAUCAAGAUGUGGCAACCUGUUGUGGAGAACUGGGUCCCUUGAGCCUGUGCUGUCUCUUUUUUUCUGGUGGCUUUGUCAUUUGGAACAAUGCAUAAUGGGCUGGAGGCUGAGAAACUCUGAGCUGAGGUGACACAAGGAUGACAGGAACAGUUAUCAGGGAAGCACACUGAUCGACUGAGCUGCCUGCUCCUGGCCUUCUGGAUCCUCCUCAGUUCCUGCUUAUCUCUAGGCCAGGCUCUCAACUCUGUCAAUUCUGGCAAGUAGAGCUGCAGCUGUCUGGCGCCACUGUAAUGCUGUCUCCUCCUCUGAGUGAGUUCAUCCUGGAAACAUUUUCUCCCAUAAGACAUGCACAGGUCUUACGUUUACAUGUUUCACUGAAAGAAAUUUGAUUCCACUGCUGGGAUGACAAGGAAGACUGAAGAAACCUAAUCCUAGGUGCUGCCACUGGGACAAACAAGAAGCACCAGACACAGUGCUGUUUUAGGGUGGGGCAGAAUUAUGCUGAGGGAAAAGUUAUUAUCACUCUUUAAGGCCAAGGAAACCACAAUUUUUAAAGAAGCUUCUAGAAAUUCUACCCAGUAGAAAAUAAAGAUAAACUUCUGUAA
rnacentral:lncRNA from 1 species